rnacentral:rRNA from 1 species
GGGCCCGCACAAGCGGUGGAGCAUGUGGUUUAAUUCGAUGCAACGCGAAGAACCUUACCUACUCUUGACAUCCAGAGAAUUCGCUAGAGAUAGCUUAGUGCCUUCGGGAACUCUGAGACAGGUGCUGCAUGGCUGUCGUCAGCUCGUGUUGUGAAAUGUUGGGUUAAGUCCCGCAACGAGCGCAACCCUUAUCCUUGUUUGCCAGCACAUAAUGGUGGGAACUCCAGGGAGACUGCCGGUGAUAAACCGGAGGAAGGUGGGGACGACGUCAAGUCAUCAUGGCCCUUACGAGUAGGGCUACACACGUGCUACAAUGGCGUAUACAGAGGGCUGCAAACUAGCGAUAGUAAGCGAAUCCCACAAAGUACGUCGUAGUCCGGAUUGGAGUCUGCAACUCGACUCCAUG